rnacentral:tRNA from 1 species
GCUUGGCUGGCUCAGUUGGUAGAGUGUGAGAAUUUUGAUCUCAGGGUUUUAAGUUUGAGCCUCAUGUUGGGUG